rnacentral:rRNA from 1 species
CCUACGGGAGGCAGCAGUGGGGAAUCUUGGACAAUGGGCGCAAGCCUGAUCCAGCCAUGCCGCGUGAGUGAUGAAGGCCCUAGGGUCGUAAAGCUCUUUCAACUGUGAAGAUAAUGACGGUAGCAGUAGAAGAAACCCCGGCUAACUCCGUGCCAGCAGCCGCGGUAAUACGGAGGGGGUUAGCGUUGUUCGGAAUUACUGGGCGUAAAGCGUACGUAGGCGGACUGUUAAGUCAGAGGUGAAAUCCCGGGGCUCAACCCCGGAACUGUCUUUGAUACUGGCAGUCUUGAGUUCGAGAGAGGUGAGUGGAAUUCCAAGUGUAGAGGUGAAAUUCGUAGAUAUUUGGAGGAACACCAGUGGCGAAGGCGGCUCACUGGCUCGAUACUGACGCUGAGGUACGAAAGUGUGGGGAGCAAACAGGAUUAGAUACCCUGGUAGUCCACACCGUAAACGAUGAAUGCCAGACGUCGGGUAGCAUGCUAUUCGGUGUCACACCUAACGGAUUAAGCAUUCCGCCUGGGGAGUACGGUCGCAAGAUUAAAACUCAAAGGAAUUGACGG